AUCUUCUCGCGAUGGCCCUGAGGCCGAUGGGGAGAUUCAGAAACGGGACGCCGUGCUGGCGUGACGAUGGCAGUGGUGAAAAGGGAGUCUGUUGUGACGGAGAGUGUGUUAAAAAUGGUACAACUGACACCUGCAAGAGCAAGAUGAACAAAUGUAAACUUCAGGAGACAGUACGGCAGCAGGGAGAAGAGGCGCAAAAGAAAUGGAAAGAAAGCAAGAAGGACACCACCAACUAAUGCCCCAGUCUUCGCCCCCACGAACCAAUGCAAACAGGUGUACAUAAAGAUACUCAUCUUUACCACGACAAAUUGGCCAAA
rnacentral:lncRNA from 1 species